rnacentral:lncRNA from 1 species
ACUCUGUGCAGCCUCAGGCUGGGGGCCGGCCAGGCUGGGUUUCAGGGAUGUGAACUACCCUAGGAAGAGGCAAGAUGUGUCCAGCAGCUGACCAUGAAGGCAAUGCAGAACGAACGGGUCCUGCAGCUGCUAUCUGCUUCUGAGCAUUUGGAGCUCACAUCUCUGCAAGGACAUGAGGUGGCCUCUGAGUGUUGGACUUGUUGGAGAUCCUUGAAGGGGGAAAACACUGGUUGCUGGAACCUCCCUGAGUUUCUGCUUCAGUGGAUCCUGCCUGGGUGUUGUCUGAGCUCCUGCAUUUCUAAAAAGUGCUCAGGUGAUGAGGAUGUUGCUGGGCUGGGGACCACGCUUGGAGAGGAGAGGGUAGGGGCCGCAGACAAUCUGCUCUGUGCAGUAGGGUGAAGAAAGCUCGUCUACUCUUGACAAGAGCUCUUUCCAUCCCCAUUCCACGCGGAUUCAUGGGGCUUUCUAUGCUGAAACAACUGGAGGGAAGUGACUAAUUUCACCCAUGAUGGAAAGGCGCUAUCUACUUGCCCUCAAAGGUGGGUCAAGAGUCCCUUCCCAGUGGACAGUGCUGUGGCCUGGUGACUGUGUCUGGGGCAAGAUGCUGCUUCUUGGAAACUUGUGGCUCCAAGUUUCCUUUGCUUCAGGGGCCACCUCAGACCCCAGAAGGGAGGUGGGUGCUCACGUCCACAGAUGGGC